rnacentral:sRNA from 1 species
UUUUGACGUGAACCUUCAGUGAAAUACUGUUAUGACACCAACUACUCGGCCAUUUCCACUGGCGAAAAAUAUUAUUAUUUUUCGCCAGACGAAAUGGCCGAGUAGUUACGAUUGACACACAGGAAGUGCAAAAACGAAAGUGCAUAUGUUGGAAUGUAACACAUGUCAACAAUGAUUGAAUGAUACGAAAUGAAAUUCCUCAGUCUGAUAACACUGUUUAUGCUGGCUGCCUUUUACAAGCAAAUAUGAAAACUGACAAGCUAACCGAACGGGUGUGGAAAAAUGCAAGAUCAAAAAUCCACUCAUUAUACUCUAUUGGUGUUAAUAACUCCGACAUUCAUCCAGUUGUGUCUGCCAAAAUAUGGAAACGUGUUGUGCUACCCUCUGCCCUCUACUCCUGUGAAAUAUGGUCGUCACUGACACUCACCGACAUGCAACUCCUAGAGUAUGUACAAAGACACUUCUCCAGAAUCAUUCAAGGAUUUUCCAAAUUUUCUCCGUCGCUCUCCAGCAUCUCAAAUAUUGGACUGUGGACCAUGCAAGGCUACAUUGAUAAAUGCCGCUUAUUGUUUUUAGGGAGACUACACCGAUCAGACCAAAACUCUUUACAAAAUCGGAUUUAUAGGUUUAUUUCUGAUGUUCAUGUAAAAACUUUUUGCAACUAAAAACUUGUUACAAACAGCUAAGAAAUAUAAGCUCUUCGAUGUGAUUUUUAACGACUGUAUUAUUAAUUUAAAAAAAAAGAAUAUUCAAAAUUGGUUAUCAAAACAAUUUGGGCAGAAGAAAAAACAAUGGCAUAGCUCCCUCCGUGUGAACCCUGAACUCUCUUUUUUUAGUAGAAUACAUACGAUUUUGUGCCCUAAUAAGCUCUGGCAAAUUGCUAAAGAGGAACCCUCAAAACGACUAUUGAUCAACUUUUUAGUUCAAGUUUCAUCAAUGAAAACUGUAUGUAAAACUUGUCCUUUAUGUUAUAAGGAAACAGAUAGCUAUAAUAUGCACCUUCUUUUAAGCUGUUAUAAUCUUUUAGAAGACAGAGAAGUUAUGCUUGAAAACAUUUUAGAAUUUCUUGAUGUCAACGAAUAUAUAUUGUUUGAAAAUCAAGAUCCAGAAUUACAGUUUUUAUCCCUUAUGGGAUGUGUCAAUGGUACAAGUUUUAAAAAUAUAUCGUAUACAAAAUGGAAACAGAUUAUGUUAAUCGUUGCAUUUAUGUUGUAUAAAAACAGAGGUUCCUUUGCAAUAGAUUGUCGUAAUUUAUAAAUGUCUAUCAAAAUAUGUACAUAUAUAAAUAUGUUUUGUUUCUGUUCUAUUUUCACUUGAAUUUAUAAUUUGAUUAUGUAAUACUCUCCAAUAAUUUGGAGGAAAAAAAGAAUAUCUUAUCUUAUCUUAUUAUUGAUAAAGAGUACAAUAAAAUAAGCAUAUUUUCGCAUUUAAAUAUUUACUUAAUCAAGUAUGUUCCAUUAUAUAAACCUAUAAAAUAGCAAUAUUGUAAACAUAAAAUCUCAGAAAUCUUAA